rnacentral:rRNA from 1 species
AUCCAUCUCGAACACAGAAGUUAAGCUCUAGAGCGCCGAAAGUAGUGGCCGGAACGCUGGCUGCGAGGAUAGGACGAUGCGAUGC